rnacentral:rRNA from 1 species
AUUGAACGCUGGCGGCAGGCCUAACACAUGCAAGUCGCACGAGUUGCGGACGGGUGCGUAAUUUCUGGGAAACUGCCCGAUUGAGGGGGAUAACUACUGGAAACGGUCGCUACUACCGCAUACCAUCGGAUGUGCCCAGAUGGGAUUAGCUAGUAGGUGGGGUAACGGCUCACCUAGGCGACGAUCCCGUGCUGGUCUGAGAGGUGGAACAGCCACACUGGAACUGCGACACGGUCCAGACUCCUACAGGAGGCAGAAGUGGGGAAAAUUGCACAGUGGGCGCAAGCCUGAUGCAGCCAUGCCGCGUGUAUGAAGAAGGCCUUCGGGUUGUAAAGUACUUUCAGCGAGGAGGCGUUACUCGAAGAAGAAGCACCGGCUAACUCCGUGCCAGCAGCCGCGGUAAUAC